rnacentral:snRNA from 1 species
AGCGAACAAGUACCGCGA